rnacentral:tRNA from 1 species
GGGGGCGUAGCUCAAACGGUAGAGCGCUCGCUUAGCAUGCGAGAGGUACGUGGAUUGAUACCCUGCUCCUCCA